rnacentral:ncRNA from 1 species
AGAUAACUCCUAUCCUCACGGUGAGGAUAGGAGUAACGGCUGUGUGGCACAGCCAUCGACACACUUGUUCGAUUCAGAAAGUGGAGCGUUCGCCCCGCGAGAACAGGUCGUGUCGUAGACCGGCAAAUAUCCCACCUGCGGUACGGGAAGCCCCGGCGUUCACGCCGGGGA